GCGCAUUCCGGGAGUUGCGUGCACGUCGUUUGCUUAGAAACUUCCUGCGUUCUUUGUGUGCUUCACUGUGACUUCUUUGGAAUAUUUCUGCGUGUUGCUCGCUUUUCAAGGGCUUGUUGCCUCGAAGAUCGCCAUGAUCGCCUCCGACUCAGCGAGAUCAAAGAUUCAAAAUGAACUGGGAGACACCCCAGCUGGAACGCUAAAGGUUCACAUCGGUUGGAGGAGUGCGCAUUGAGAAGGUUAUCCUGGCACAGCUUACCGUCGCCUGCCUUGGUGGACCAGGAAAGUUUGCAAGGGCCUUGCUUCACCAUAUCUUAACAGAGGAUGAGCUCAUGGGCCAUUUGCGCUUUGGAAAUAACACCAAGGGGCAAAAGAGGGUCUUGACCCCACCAGGGUCGUCGCUGUU